GUCUAGUAUAAGCAUUAUACCGUGAACUGCGAAUGGCUCAUUAAAUCAGUUAUCGUUUAUUUGAUAAUACCUUACUACUUGGAUAACCGUGGUAAUUCUAGAGCUAAUACAUGCUGAAAAUCCCGACUUCGGAAGGGAUGUGUUUAUUAGAUAAAAAACCAAUGCCCUUCGGGGCUCUUUGGUGAUUCAUGAUAACUUUACGGAUCGCAUAGCCUUGCGCUGGCGACGGUUCAUUCAAAUUUCUGCCCUAUCAACUUUCGAUGGUAAGGUAUUGGCUUACCAUGGUUUCAACGGGUAACGGGGAAUUAGGGUUCGAUUCCGGAGAGGGAGCCUGAGAAACGGCUACCACAUCCAAGGAAGGCAGCAGGCGCGCAAAUUACCCAAUCCCGACACGGGGAGGUAGUGACAAUAAAUACUGAUACAGGGCUCUUUUGGGUCUUGUAAUUGGAAUGAGUACAAUUUAAACCUCUUAACGAGGAACAAUUGGAGGGCAAGUCUGGUGCCAGCAGCCGCGGUAAUUCCAGCUCCAAUAGCGUAUAUUAAAGUUGUUGCAGUUAAAAAGCUCGUAGUUGAAACUUGGGCCUGGCUGGCGGGUCCGCCUCACCGCGUGCACUCGUCCGGCCGGGCCUUCCUUCUGAAGAACCUCAUGCCCUUCACUGGGCGUGUUGGGGAAUCAGGACUUUUACUUUGAAAAAAUUAGAGUGUUCAAAGCAGGCCUUUGCUCGAAUACGUUAGCAUGGAAUAAUAAAAUAGGGCGUGCGUUUCUAUUUUGUUGGUUUCUAGAGACGCCGCAAUGAUUAACAGGAACAGUCGGGGGCAUCAGUAUUCAGUUGUCAGAGGUGAAAUUC
rnacentral:rRNA from 1 species